rnacentral:lncRNA from 1 species
AGGAAAUUUUGCUGUUUUUGGUUAUUAUCUUGAAUAUUAUUAUAGAUAGAGAUAAACUGUAAACAGCAAUAAUGUUCAGCAAAGUAAGAUUUACAAAUAAGUCAACAUGACCAAAAUGGUCAGUUGACCCCUUUAGGAGUUAUUGCCCUUUAUAGUCAAUUUUUAACCAUUUUUCGUAAAUCUUAGUAAUCUUUUACAAAAAUCUUCUUCUCUGAAACUACUGGGCC